rnacentral:lncRNA from 1 species
AAAAAAAAUGCAUCAGGGGCCUUCUGAAGGAGCUGGAUUUACAAGGACCUGGGCUCCCACCAGAGCAGAAUGGGCAGGCCUUUCGUCACCCUCAAGCUCAUAAAACCCCGAGGAAGCUAUGACUUCGUCACUUUACGACCUCGCUUCAUUUCCUGUUCUGAGGACAUUGCUCUGUGCGAAUGACCUCAGAACUGCCUAGAAGCCGAGAGCUGUGUCGUCUGGCUUCAGACGUUGAGCUGUGCUUCAAGUUCCAGCCUCAAAGUGGUGACACUCCUCCAGCCCCUUGGACCAUGCGGAGACCUGCACCACCUACCUACAUCUCUAUGUCUGGGCCAGCAGUGUUGCCUGGCUUCUUGGCAAAUCCCUGGUUUGCUUGGUUCUGGGUAGGUAACCUGUGCCCAGAAGAGUGAGCCAUCUCAGGAUGUCCUCAGAUGAAGGAAGACGACACAGCUCAUAUCCUGGAGGGGAGCAGGAAGUCCAAGCUGAACCCUCCCACAGAGGUCCUCGAUUGAGUAGAGCUACCCCAGGGCAGUGUGGACAGUGGGAGAAGUCCUGAGCUAAUGUGUGCUGUGGUCAUGUCAGGGACUGCGGUGCCUCAGACCAAGAGAAUGGCAAAGCCUUUCCUGAGUGAGGCUCAGAGGGAAGGAAGCCUCCUCUGUCCUGACCUGGAAUGCUGACAGUAUGUGUACAAACUGUCAACUACAGCUUCCUCCUCCCUGGUGACCCCAGCCUGAGACUGUGCCCCUACAGAGACCCUGUUCUCAGAUCAGCUAAAUCUGCCUCCUUGUUCAGCCAAAUGCCAUAAACUCCCUGAUUCAGAUAUAAAAUGAGUGUGUUGAAUUUCCCGGUUAUUAUUGCAGCUGGGCAUCCAUCAGAGCCCACACAGCUCACUGAUCCCAGCUUCUUCAUAUAUGCUCUCUGUGUCUGUUCUUUCUUCUGUCUCCUCAUCACCCCAUUCCAGUUUCCAGAACCAAGCCAUGUAGGGUGUGGCAGGCAGAGGAUGGGUUUCCUAGUCCCGGUCCCAGGCCGCCUGGUUUAUGCCUCCUACUUUGCAUCCACCCAAGGUGUAAUCUACCAGAGUAGAACCAGAGGGAAGCUCUGGCACUGGCUCACAGGAGGCCUUGGUCCUGAUGUCUUGCUGUGCUGAGCUUCUUCUCAAGGACUGAUGUGACCUGUCCAGCCCUGCAGCUCUACUGGUAGUUUCAGAAAAUGCACUUCUUCAAAACAUUUCUAUUUCCCGAACAUCCAUCAAGUGACAGGCUGUGGAGCUCAGGCUGUGCCCCAAGAAGCUCCAUUCGCAAGCAACUCUUGACUCCAUUAUGAAGCUAGAGGACGACUGUAUGUCUUGAUGGAUGUGUAAAUAGUAAUUCUACCCAGUACCACCCAUGAACCACAAAGCACAGGCUUAUAAAUGACUUAUUUCUAAGAGUAGACAUGGUGACAUCCUAUAAAUUCAUCAGGGUAAAUUGAAACUGUACAGUCAUAUGGACAUGAUCAAGUCACACCAAGAAAAACAGUCCCAAGAACUUGUGGAACACAGGAGACCGAGGAAUGGGGUAAACCUCACAUGGGUCCCUUAAAGAAGCGAACAUCUAGCAUUGUGAUGGCAAUGGCUCCCACUGACCUGUCACCUUGUCAGUGGGGACGGAGACACAGCUCCAUACUGACUCUUUCAGCAGCCUGACCACAACUCGGGCCCAACUGAAGUCUGUGGAUUCAACACUGAAAAGAAUUUUGAGCCUAGCCAGUUUGCAAAGACGAGGUGGAGAUAGAGUAAUAUAUUUUUAGUACAGGAUUCAAAGAAAUAGAGGCCAGCCUGUGAGAUGGGUCAUCAGGUUAAGCACCUGUCACCAACCCUGACAACCUGAGUUUGGUCCCUGGGACUCACAUGGUAGAGGAGAGAAUGAUUCCACAAGUUGUCCUCUGACCUCCACAUGCACACAGUAGCACACAAGAGCCCCCUUCCCACACUAAAUAAACAAA